UACGUAGGGGGCUAGCGUUGUCCGGAAUCAUUGGGCGUAAAGCGCGCGUAGGCGGCCCGGUAAGUCCGCUCUGAAAGUCCAGGGCUCAACCCUGGAAAGCGGGUGGAUACUGCCGGGCUAGAAUCCGGAAGAGGCGAGUGGAAUUCCUGGUGUAGCGGUGGAAUGCGCAGAUAUCAGGAGGAACACCGGUGGCGAAGGCGGCAUCCUGGACCGGUAUUGACGCUGAGGCGCGAAAGCUAGGGGAGCAAACGGG
rnacentral:rRNA from 1 species